GGUUGAGGGCUCAGUGGCAGAGUGCCUGCCUCGCACGUGUGAGGAACUGGGUUCAAUCCUCAGAAUCA
rnacentral:tRNA from 1 species